rnacentral:SRP_RNA from 1 species
ACUAGGCAUGGUGGCAUGUACCUGUAGUCUCAGCUACUUGGAAGGCUGAGGCAGGAGGAUCAUUUGAGUCCAGGAGUUCUGGGCUGUAGUGUGCUAUGGCAAUCGUGUGUCCACACAAAGUUUAGCAUCCAUAUAAUGACCUCCUGAAGUGGGGGACCACCAAGUUGCCUAAGAAGGAGGGAACUGGCCCAGGUUGGAAACAGAGCAUAUCAAAACUCCCUUGCCAAUCAACAGUGGAAUUGUGCCUGUACUAGCCACUGCACUCUAGCCUGGGCAACAUGGCAAGAUUCUAUCUCU